UUUAAUCUGAGCUUUCUCUUUCUCUCUCCGUCUCUUUUUUCUUGCCCUCUUAAGCAGGAAACGAGCUAGAAGAACAGCGAGAAAAGGGGGCAUCCUGAAUCCGAAGGGGAGGGACCUCAGGUAGUGAUGACUGGAGGCCGAGGCUGAGCCCGUCUCCUCUUCAGUGUCACUGUUGUCCUGCUCCAGGUCUAACUGGAUUUAAAGACGCGGUGGAAAUCCCCCGAUGAAUCAACGUUUAACCCUUCACUGCCACGUCAACCAGAAAAGCUGUUUUUUUGUUUUUUUGGAUUGAACACGUUGGCUGCGGCUAACGUUUUUUGGAUAAUUUUCUGCCUCAGCAGCCUUGGUUAGCAGGAAGCUGCAGACGUGAUCAGCUAUCGUGUGUCUGCACACAGAGAUUUGAUUUGGGGGGGUUCACGCUGCUUUCUUUAUUCAGCUGAGCUGUGUUUGAAGGACUGUAUCUGUGAUCUGUUUGAUCUGCUCGUGAUGCAGCAGCCGGAUCAGAUAUUAAAACAGCAGAAUGUGUCAGACUUCGAAACAUUCACAAACCCAGUCUUUGUGAAAAUUUAUAAAUAAUUUGAUUUUUUUUUCUCAAUCUUUUCUUUACAGCUGCUACGAUUAGCUGAUGAUUAGUUGAUCAAUUGACGAAAAUGAUGAUUUAUGAUUUAUGAUUUAUUUUUUAGGCAAAAAUGGCAAACAUUUGCUGUUCCCAGCUUCACACAUGUAAGAUUUAAUGUUUGUCUAUGCCAUAAAUGACAGUAAACUGAAUAUGUUUGAGUUUUGGAAUGUAGGUCAGACAAAACAAGACAUCCUAUUGCAUUCUGGGAUCACUAUUAUAUAACAUUUACUUGUACUAUAAACUUCUAAAUACUUCACUGGUCGAUGUUGCUGUCUGAGAUUCGUUACCACCGUUCACUCAUCUGUUACUGUGUUUUAUUCAUUAUCUUCUAGCUCAUUUAUUCUGUAUUUUACAUGUGACUUCAAUAUGUUACACUGAUUAUGUUUUGUAAUUAAAAUCAAUUCCAAUCAUGUUGAAUUAUUCAUUUUUUGUGUGUUGUCAUCCAGUUGUGACAUCAUGAUGCACAGUUCAACUCUGUGAUACUGAGUGUUGUGUGUUGUUGGUCAGUGCAUAUUGUCACUUGCAUUCUUUAUUUCUUUUUCAGUAUGUGAAAUGUAAAGUUAGGAGACUUUUUUUUUAUGAAGUCACAUCAGAUGAAACUGUUAGACAUGAAAUUAAUCUGUGUUAAAGAACUGUAUACUACUGUGUAGUGUACAGAUCAUGUGGAGCAAUGUCAUUUUUAUGUUAUGAUUGUUCAACAAUUUACUUUUAUUUCAUAUUAGUGGUUAAAUACCUAAUAAUACUGUAAUAAACAGUAUAACCAGUUAUGCCUCGUAAUAAAUGCUGGAUGAUGUGAGAGCAGUACAGUAAGCCCAGUGUUCUCUUCAGAGGCCUGCUGUUGAAAUAGAGACGUCUUACAGUUGUGUCUAAAUAAAGCCUUAAUGCUGUCAUUUCACAACUGUCAAUUCUUUUGGUUGUCAUGCUUAUUAAUAGAAGCUCUGAAUGAGUUUUUUAUAAACAGGCAUAUCCUCUGGCAUGUUUCAUGUCUCAUCUUUAGAGGUAUUUUUAUACCUUUUUAAAGUCUUGAAUCGGUUUUAGUGAGAUUAAUUUUUUUGGCGUGAUUUUUGUUUCUGUUGAGCUGCCAAAGCAAAUUACGACAUCGUCUCUGCUGACCACAAAGACAUCGCUGAGUAAAUGGACUAAAAUGAAGACAUUAAUUAAGACGGUUGACAAGCUUCACUCCUCAGUCGUCAGUGUGUUGCAGUAAUUAGUCCAUAUGUACGAAUUUGUGUGUGAGAUUAUUGUGUCUAUGUUUGUCAUGCUAAUUAGGCCUGCCUAAAUACAAUAAAUAUUUAAUGAGAAA